CACCACACAAGGUAGAGCGCUAGCUCGUUCACACCUAUUCACGCUCCCUUUCGGCGCCUCACAGGAAUGCAGUCCAAAGGCGUCGAAACGGGUGGUUACAAGCCUUCCUUACGGGUUGACAUCGGCUCAGCCGACAACGCCAAGGAGGAGUCGGCAAACGUUACGGAAGGUAGCCCUCAAAAAGUAAUAACCCCGCAUGUAUCCACAAACAUAUUCGUGGCCGGCAUUCCGUCCACGUGGGACGAUGACGCUCUGCGAGAACGCUACAAAGAGUUUGGCGAGAUUGUAUCGACAAAAGUAGUCAAGAACCGCCACUUUGGCUUUGUAAUGUUUCGGAGAGCGGAGUCUGCGCACGCCGCGAUCAACGCCACACACCUGACGCAGCCAACUCCCAACUGCGGCACUGUCCUGCACGUUUCUAUCGCCAUGCACGACGAGGGACUCGAUGAUCAGCCAAACGACCGCCUUUUCAUUCGCGGGCUGCCGCAAUGGGCGACGAAGGAGCACCUUCGACAGAUGUUCUCGCCUUACGGUGUCAUUACCGAGUGCGCGGUUCUCAUGAACCCCCUGGGGCAGUGCAAAGGAUCUGGCUUUGUUCAGUUUUCCUCACAGCAAGAAGCCACUGCCGCCAUCAAGGCGCGGGACUCCAUUAGCAUGGACAGUUGGCCCCACCAACUCGAGGUGAAGUACUCAGAGUCGGCCGAGGUGCGGCAGAUGCGGCAAGAGCGCAACCGCAAUCGCCAGCGGCACUGGCUGCCGUCACCACAGUAUCGCGGCGGCAACACCCCCAGCUCCCUCCCUUCGCCCUACCCAGGGUUUUCGCCGCCGCUCUCCCUCAUUCCGUCUCCGCAGGCGUUUCCAGUCAUGAACGCGAUGCCGUUUCCGAUGGUGUACCCACCAGCACCAGCCACCACGGGUGCCCCGACGCAGAUCGUCUACCCUCAGCCGAUCUACCAGACCAUACCACCCUUCUACUCGGCAUCUGCAGUGCCUAUCCCAGCACCGAUUCCGCUUCCUCAAAAAGGCGACCUGCACUUUAGCGGCCCGCCGUUGACAGAGGAGUUGCUGCGUCUUAUGCUGCAGUCCUACGGCGAGGUGGAGGCAGUCAAAAAACUAGAUAAUGACACCGGCAUCGCGGUGCGCCUGCGAGACGUGACGAAGCACGCGCUGGUGGUGCAACAACUAAACGGCUCGCUCUUCCCAACUGGGCAGUUGUUGGCGGUCGGUAUUUACGCUUAGUGCGCACUUCUUUUAUUUUCCUGAGCGAGCACGAAGAAGGAAGCACAGCAGCGGGAGCGCCAGCGCGCACGCGUUCGCUAGCGCAGGCACGAAUACGCGUGGCGGGAGUGCUACUGGCAACACAAAAAAAAACCAUUGUUGUGUGGAAAUGGAAAUGGUAAACGUGGAGCUCACCUACAAGGGAGAAUAGUGAACAAGCGGAUGGUCGCUUCUCUACCGAAGCGCAAAGGAUUGAGAGGGACACGUGAUGUUCCUGAUAAUAUAAUCGCCAGUGCCGACAAGAAGGGGCCGGCCAGGCUUGUCUUGAUGAAUUCGCAGGCGUGCGUGCGCGUGCGUGGACUAACGGGUGGGUUGCAGAGUGGGCUUCUUCACGUGCGAGUAGCGAAAAGAGCGACAGCGAUGUAGAAGGAGAGGGCGUGCGUGCGCCUGUGAUGCAGGAUGCCGCAGUUGGCUGAGGCGUCACCUCAGUGAUCUCUUCUUUCGCCCUGCUUGCUUUUUGUGCGCACAUGUGUGUGUGUGUGUGUGUAUGUUUAUGUUUAUGUGUAUGUGUAUGUGUAUGUGUAUGUGUGUGUGCAUCGUGUUGCUGCGCCGUUACCCCGAACAGUUCUCGCGGCUUACAUGCGUAAGGCUGUCACACGCAUUACCAACGCAGCGUUGCGAUGCACGCAGACUCGUAACUCGUUUCUUCAGAAGGAUGAUUGCAAGCAUUCACGCGGAGUUUUUUUUGUCUGUUUUUGUUGGAGGGGCUCUGACCAAUGCGUCACACCGUAGGCAACGCCUCUUUGCCACUGCUACCACCACACAUCCCCCUCUCGUUGGUUUUCUCUCGUCCGGCUCCCUCUUAACUGGAGCGUCUCGCUCGUUCUUUCCCUCCUCCUCUUUUUCAUCUUUUCGCUCUUCACCUUAUUGUUAAGCUGUGUGCAUAUCUGUUUGUCUCUCCGCGAGUCGACGCGUUUGUGGUGCACCGUUGUAGGCGACUGAGGGGAGAGAAGGACUCCAAGAAGAGGGUUAGGCCCCUCUGCUUUGUUUAUUUUUUUUCUGUUCACGUCUACUUUUGCUCCGAAAUAUAUAUAUAUAUAUAUAUAUAUAUAUAUACAACUGAAAACGAUCAACGGAAUCUUGGCAACAUCAGUCAGCAAAGACGGUGGCACGCUCGGGACCGCAGAGUGUCACUUCUGACAAUAAUAAUGCUGCAUGAUGCAGUACGGGCAGCCGUACCGCUUACCGCGCAUGCGACAUCCCCGUCACCUCUCCAUGGCGCCUUCUUUUGCCGCGCGUGCGUCUCUCCUUUCCUCCCAGCUUCGGGCGAUGACGGAGUGAUGCGAUAACAGCAUUCGUACUGCUCCGGAGAAGCACACGACCUUCCCUUGAGAAAGCGCUUGUUUCAGCAGCCCUUUUUACCUCCUCCGCGCCGCCUACGUCGAUCCAUCAACUCGGUUUGCCUAUAACUCUCUCUUCCUCUGCGUUUGUGUCCGCCAUUCUCCGCGUCUCUACGUUUCUUCUCUUCCAAUGGUGGCGAAG
rnacentral:misc_RNA from 1 species